UACAGAGGGGGCAAGCGUUGUUCGGAAUUACUGGGCGUAAAGGGCGCGUAGGCGGCCUGCUAAGUCGAACGUGAAAUCCCUGGGCUCAACCCAGGAACUGCGUCCGAUACUGGUUGGCUUGAAUCCGGGAGAGGGAUGCGGAAUUCCAGGUGUAGCGGUGAGAUGCGUAGAUAUCUGGAGGAACACCGGUGGCGAAGGCGGCAUCCUGGACCGGCAUUGACGCUGAGGCGCGAAAGCCAGGGGAGCAAACGGG
rnacentral:rRNA from 1 species